CUGUGGGCGUAGGAAUAUUGCGGAGAGCUGCUCCUAGUACGAGAGGACCGGAGUGGACGCACCGCUAGUGUACCUGUUGUGUGGUCGCAUGCAUCGCAGGGUAGCUAUGUGCGGAAGUGAUAAGCCGCUGAAUGCAUCUAAGCGCGAAGCACGCUCCAAGAUAAGUAUUCCCUAAGAGCCUCCUGGAAGACGACCAGGUAGAUAGGUAGCAGGUGUACCCAUGGUAACAUGGUUAGCCGAGCUAUACUAAUUAGGCCACUGGCUUCGGUUA
rnacentral:rRNA from 1 species